rnacentral:misc_RNA from 1 species
UAGUCUCCCAGCGUAGAAUUUUUAUCAAUGAGUAUUCGGGAGACGUUUUCCCGACGCGGCGCGGCGCCCGCCCCGCUCGCCGUCGAUUUUCCUUUCAGUGCGACGCGGGACUCAGUCGGGUUACGGACGCCGCGGGCGUUGUGUCGCGACUUGAUCGCACUCAACAGUACUCACUGUUUACUCCAAAUACAGCCAUUCAAUCAAGAAGGGGCAACACACCGCACUCACACACCGUGUCGCAUGGCGGACGAAACGACAGCAGACUGUCUGUUCGAACGACUCCGCGUGCACCAGCAGCGCGCACCAGACUCCACGGAGGUGGCGCGUGCCAUCACAUCACGUAUCAACUCGCGUCUCACAUCACACGAUAAACAUGUACGUCAAAGCACGUUGGAUAAAUUGUGGAACAAACAAUCGGGUGCGAUACAAAUGCUGCUCUCCAUACUUGAAAACACAAGAGACACAGCCACUUCUACCUACAUAACAUCCAUACUGAGAGAAGUUUUGUGUUUAAAGCAAGGAAAGGGGAAAAAAAGCUCAGAAGUACCGUCAUCAAACAAGAAGAAAGAAAAUAAAAAGGCAGGCAAAGAAAACAAAGCGCCUCUCGUUAAAAAGGUAAAUAACCUCGCGAGACAACAGUGCGCGCAACACUUCAUAUCCUUAAACGGGUCGCAAUCAGUGCUCCGUACUUUGAUUGCCACACACGGGAAACGCGAUGGCAAUGUUGGCACCGAACUGAUGCUGCAGGACCUCGUCUGGAUCCUCGCCUCACUGGCGCCUAGAGAUCCUAAGUUCGCAAUGAAAGUUAAAAUGCUUGGAUGCGUAAGGACAAUACAUCUAAUAUUGAAAGGUCACUUUACAGACAAUAAAUUAAUUUUUCCCCUAUUAGUAAUAAUGAAACAGUUAGCCAAAAAUGUUGUCACAACUUCCAUUUUGAUCCGAGAUGGAGUGAUCGCCACAUACGAACGCGUGCUGGUGAGCCUAGGGUUCAUUCCAACAGCCAGACUCCGCUUGUGUUUGGACGCUAUAGACUACUUCAGCAAAAAUAAAGUGUGCUGCAUGCAGAUCGUGAAGACAGGCCUAAGUAGCGUGCUCCUCCGAGUGUUCGACCGGUGGGACCGCUACGAGGGCCGCAUGAGACUCAAGAUAUGCGCUCACAUAUUGCAGACCCUUCAGCACUUAUGCAAUAUAAAGGCUGGACGUCGAGCGUUGUGCACAAAGAAACAUGUGCAGACACUGCAUCGAUUUUGUUCACAAUGUCCAGACGAGCCAGAAUUUGACGGACUGUUAGCUCGCGUAUGCUCAGUAAUCACGUUGUGUCUUAAACAUCAAGCCUUACCUGUUCCUGCCUCUAGUCCAGCUUCUUUCAAUCUUAGUCCAAUUUUAAAAGGAACAAACACGUCGUGGCCUUGUCAUGAAGAUGAAGAAGACGCUGCAAAUUCUGAUUCGAAAACUUUUAACUCGGAUCUCGACGAUGAUGAACCUGACACUGACGUAGAGGCUGAUGAAUUUCCAGACAUAGAUUUUGAUGAAGAAGUUAAGACAGACGCAAACGAUGAAGACAAAGUUCACACUAAAAGCGGUGAUAGUUUACAGAAUGCACUGUGGAUCAAUCCUAAUGAGAGAGAUUUAGAAGACUUAAAAAAAUAUUUUAUAUAUUUUAAAGAAUUUGGAUCGUACAAUAAACAAAUAAGACUUGUUAAAAGUCGUUCCAAUUCUAGAGGAUCAAUAUUAGAAGAUUUUUUGACAUCGCAAGCGGGGAGUAACAAAAACGUGCCUUCACUAAAUCUUUCAUUAACCGCUGUAUUAGGCAACACCGAUUACGAUAGUAUUAUGGGAUCAUCACAAGCGACUUCCUUUCUCCAAGGUUUUCAUAGAAUUCAUGAAAGCGCUUCUACCACAUCAUGUUCAUCUCUAAAGAUUCACAAAGAUAUUUCCAAAUAUAGUUCAUUUGCAGUAGUGUAUAGUACAAUAUCAUCAAGAGUUAGAAGUGUAAUACCCUUUGUAAAAGUAGCAUAUCCGGAUAUGAUGGGCGGUCAAAGUUACAAUCAACCUGAACCUCUUAACAAAAUGGAACGUUCAGCUUGCAGAAUUAAACUACUUUCCUGUGUUGAUCGUGCUAUCAAUCCUGAAGCUUAUAUGAAUGAAGUAGUUUAUGAUCUAGAUCAACUUUGUAGCAGUAAUGUAAUCAAUACUAAUACGGACACUACGUCCCAAAAAAGUUCAGACAGUUUGUUUUUAACCAAUAAUGAUGAACAAGAAAUUACAAAAGUCAACUGUUUUUCAUCGCGACUUAGCUUCGAAUCCAGAUUUGAAUCUGGUAAUCUGAGAAAAGCUAUUCAGAUAGGUCCAAGAGAGUAUGAACUGAUUCUCAUGCCGGAUGUCAACUCUAAUAAAAGACAUCAGUGGUUCUACUUCGAGGUACGGAACAUGCAGAGUGGUCGGCCCUACACCUUCAAUAUUGUCAACUGUGAAAAGUCCGACAGCCAAUUUAAUUUUGGCAUGAAGCCAGUUAUGUAUUCCGUGAAGGAAGCUGUAAUGGGCAAACCAGGAUGGGUAAGAGCCGGUUCGGAUAUUUGCUACUACCGAAACAGCUACCAUUAUGCGAACCAGAAAAAUCACAACAAAUGUUACCUAACCGUUACCUUUAAUAUUGAGUUCCCGCACAGCAAUGACGUGUGCUAUCUCGCCUACCACUACCCAUUCACUUACUCUAUGAUGAUGACACGAAUUUGGCAGUGGAGCUUACAAAUGCCUUCUGGAGCGUACCUUCGCGCGGAGCCACUUUGCUACUCACUGAACAACAACGAAGUUCCAUUACUCACUAUAACAGCUGAAGAUACAUCAACAAAUCCUAUCGUGGACAGAGAGAUAAUAUUCUUGACGGCUCGCGUUCACCCGGGCGAGAGCAACGCGUCCUGGGUAAUGGACGGCACCCUGGAGUAUCUGCUAGGCGCCUCAACGGCCGCCACAGCGCUGCGAGCCAAGUACGUCUUCAAGAUUGUACCGAUGCUCAACGUCGAAGGAGUCAUCAAUGCCAUCGAUGCGGCUUGACUAAUGAAGAUUUAAAUCGACGUUGGUGUAAACCCAGUCCCGUUUUGCAUCCGUCUAUUUAUCACACCAAGGGCCUUAUAGAAUAUCUAGUUCGUGUUUGGAAAAAACCACCAUUGGUAUAUUGCGAUUAUCAUGGGCAUUCGCGUAAGAAGAAUGUAUUUUUCUACGGAUGCGCGGGCGCAGAGAGUUGGUGCAGCAACGACCGAUUAGUGC